rnacentral:lncRNA from 11 species
GAACGCGUUCAUGAGCGCGCCUUUUUUGUCUUGUGGCCGAUAGGAGGCGCUGGCGCCGAGGUUUGAGGCGCCAAAGCGUUUCCUCCUCAAACACGAGGGACUUCGUGUUAUAUAAGAGCAGCGCGAUGGCUCCCUCCGAAAAGCAGGAAUACAAUACAGGCCGAGCAUGCCUUAUGUGACGCCUGCAAGCCCCCAUAGCAGACCUGGAUGCAAUUCGUCUGGCCUUGAGGACUGGAAUUCAUUUCAGGUAGCUAAGUGCUUUCCUUCAUUCUUGAGCCUCCUGCAUUCAGCAUAUAUUCUUUUUUAUUC